CUCAACUGAAAGCUUUCUCAAAGAUAUCACUGGUUUUCAGCGUACUCUUUGACUACUCUGUGACCUACUCAUGUGAACCACUGCCCAUGUGACCACAUGUUUGUUAAAAUGCUGUCGAUGAGAUUCAUCUAAAGAAAAGAUAAAUAAAAGAUGUCACUGAGA